UUACUUAUGUACAACUAAGGCUUAAUGAAUUAAGCUAUUUUGUUUAUCAAAUAAUAUAGUGAUUAAUAAGGACUAAACUAUCGUUCAUACAUAUAACAAUGCAUUAUUUCUGUCAGCCGAGCACCUAACAAGGACUAAUCAAUUAAGCUCUUACCUCUUACCAAACGGGUGUUUGUGGAAAGUUUAAGCUUGUGAAUCGCGAGUUCAUGACCCUUUAUUAGCGUUGACACGAGGCACUAUCCCUGUGUUUAUAAUAAAAAAAUGUAGGAAAGGACCUGCCGGCCCACUCCUCCAUUCCACAGCUAGCAACGUGCUACCCUCCCUCUCCUCGUGGCUGAUGUCUUUUUACUUUGAAACUAAUAAUAGCAUAUUUUAUAAUAAAACGAGUUCUACGAUGCUGUCCUAAUAAGAAAACAAAUUUAAAUCAGUCAUUUUUUAUAAAAUAAAGCUAACUUCUAUUUUUGUGCCUCGUAAAUUCACUUUUUCAUUUAAAUUUUUUUUAUAGUCAAAUACAUAGAAAUGCAUAAAGUAUAAUUGUUGACUAAAAUUUGAUAAUUUUACUCAGUCUACUCCUUUUGUCUCAAAGACUAAAAUUCGAUAACUUCAUGCAUAAAGUAUAAUUUCUUUGGAACCAUGUGAACAAUUUUAGGGCAAACUUCAGAAAGUUGUAAUAUUAUGGGAGUACAUAUUAGUUUGAGUACAGGCACUUACCUUUGUCUCCCUUGCUAGCGUGUCUCUUUAAUUUAGUUAUGUGAUUGUGAUGAACUGAUGAUAGAGUAAGAUCAAAAGUUUACUACUCACCGUAAUUACUGAAUGAAGAAUGAGUAAUAUUAUUGUUGGACACUACACUGUUGCAUGUCACCAGAAAUUGACACUUAAACAAGAAGUUGAAGGUUUUUGCUCAAAGUGAAGAAUCUUCUUCGGUGUAUAUGACGAAAUUAUGUGUCUAAUAGAUUUAGACUUUGAGACAAAAGAGUAGAAUCUGCUUCCGUGAUCUAGGAGAGGAUGGAAAGCUACACCUUUAAUUUAACCAGAGUCUUUCUUAUUGAUAGAGCAACGUACAUCGAUCCUUUUGUAAUGAUGUAAAUUUAUUACUUUCUCAAGGAUUUGGAUUUUCUUAUUUACAACUCGAGCAUAGUACUAUAGUGAUAGAGUCACAACAUUCAAACAUGUGAUAUAACAUCAUUGAACAACCAUGCAAUAUUGGUCGCGAUCCCAAAACAUUUAUCUUGUCAUGCUGCUGCUGUCUGCUCCUAGGGACAAGUGGACUUCAAAUAUAAAGCUUGUUAGCCGUAGUGCAAUAUUGAUGCUUCUUUCACCUUGAGGCAAAAUCAUGUUGGCAUUGAAGUGUGUGUCUGCAUGGGGAUGAAGGGUGUUCUGUUCUUGCCAAAAUGGAAGGGUGGAAGCCUCUAACUUUGGCGGUUGAAAGAAAAGUGCCUUGUCUUUGAUUUGUUGAAUAAUGUUGACUUUGAGCUUGAUUGCAAAAUAUUGGUGGAUGCUUUUCACAACCCAAAGAUGAUGUCUCAGAGUUUUGUUUCAUAAAUGUGGAUUGUUUUGUUGGCAGAUUUUAUUCUGUAUUGAAAAUUUCUAAAGUUGUUUUUAUUAGAGACAAAUCUACUAUUUGGUCGUCUGUCUUAACUCAAACAACCACAUUCUUAUAGUUGGUUUCCAUUUUAUAUUCUCA
rnacentral:lncRNA from 1 species